rnacentral:sRNA from 1 species
UAAACUGAUCUACCGUAAAAAUACAAAUAAAAAAAACGACCACUGAAGCCCGCUUUAUUUAAACGGCGCGAGGUAAACCACUAAUCAGUAUAAUGUAUAAGUGCCAGUUCAUACACAGAACAUGUCUCAAACGGGAUUGUAUCCCAGGGUCAUCGGCUCUGGCUCUCUAAGCGGCCCAAGGCUUAGCCUUCACUUUCGCGUAUCCUGCGCCGCUCUGGUGAUUUUCCCACUUUAAAUCAGAUGGCGCGUGAGCCCUCUUUUUGAACCGGGCCGCCGCAGUGCCCUUACCCAGUUGGGUGUUGUCGGAUCAAAACUGCAUCCAUGAUCGCGUGCAUCGCGCCAGCAGCUGGUACAUUAUUCAUUUAUCUGCAGUUUUGUACGACGUACGACGUACAUGCUUCGCAGGUGCCUACAUUACCGACAUCGUCUUCCCUCCUGAACCAUGCUGUACCUUAUAGGCUUUGACCGGCUUCCUCUAUUGGCCGAGACCCUCUCUGGCCACAAACUGCUAAGCCGCGAUCCCCUCCCGUUACACUGCCAGGUUGCCCCCUCCAGUGGCCAGUAAUACCUCUUGCGAGCCCGUGGAUACCGAUAUGCCCAUCAUGACCGGCCGACAUCGCGAACUCCCCGCCGGCUCCUGCGCAAGGGACAACGAUGCCGUGCGCCCCUCGGCUCAUGAUUCCUGUCGCGGGAGGCUGUGGCCUUAGCGUCUUGCUACUGCCAUGGCCCAUUCUGAUUUUUUCCGCUGGACUGUGGCAGCCACUGGCUGUCCUGCUGCGGCCAUAGCCGUAAUACCGCUGCUUUGUCACUGAGUCGAAAAUGUGGCGGGUAAGCUUUCCUGCAGCCCCCCAUUCAUACCCCACCGAAUCAAACGCUGGGCUUUAGCUUCGAGACGCAUUACCAAUGAACCAUACGCUUUGUCGCAAACCGAGUCGUGUCUAAUUUCCCCCGCCGUACAGACUCCUAUCAAAGUAUCUCAGCCACACAGAAUCGUUGUGUGCAUCUUUGCAAGAUUCGAAUCCAACAAGCCAUCGUUAUCCUUCGACCUGGCCAUCGACAACAAGGACUUUGACUACGGCAAUCAAGGGAGGAGCUACGCGGGCUACUAGACUCUAGAUAGAUCUCGUUUUUGUUAGGUUUAAGGGUAUACGCGUACCUAUAUUUAGAUAG